rnacentral:rRNA from 1 species
GACGAAUGCUGGCGGCGUGCCUAAUACAUGCAAGUUGAGCGCUGAAGGUUGGUACUUGUACCAACUGGAUGAGCAGCGAACGGGUGAGUAACGCGUGGGGAAUCUGCCUUUGAGCGGGGGACAACAUUUGGAAACGAAUGCUAAUACCGCAUAAAAACUUUAAACACAAGUUUUAAGUUUGAAAGAUGCAAUUGCAUCACUCAAAGAUGAUCCCGCGUUGUAUUAGCUAGUUGGUGAGGUAAAGGCUCACCAAGGCGAUGAUACAUAGCCGACCUGAGAGGGUGAUCGGCCACAUUGGGACUGAGACACGGCCCAAACUCCUACGGGAGGCAGCAGUAGGGAAUCUUCGGCAAUGGACGAAAGUCUGACCGAGCAACGCCGCGUGAGUGAAGAAGGUUUUCGGAUCGUAAAACUCUGUUGGUAGAGAAGAACGUUGGUGAGAGUGGAAAGCUCAUCAAGUGACGGUAACUACCCAGAAAGGGACGGCUAACUACGUG